rnacentral:rRNA from 1 species
UACGUAGGGGGCUAGCGUUGUCCGGAAUCAUUGGGCGUAAAGAGCGUGUAGGCGGUCCGAUAAGUCGGCUGUGAAAGUCAAGGGCUCAACCCUUGAAUGCCGGCCGAUACUGUCGGGCUAGAGUCCGGAAGAGGCGAGUGGAAUUCCUGGUGUAGCGGUGAAAUGCGCAGAUAUCAGGAGGAACACCAAUGGCGAAGGCAGCUCGCUGGGACGGUACUGACGCUGAGACGCGAAAGCGUGGGGAGCAAACAGG